GUGCAGUUUUGUGACCAACAAUUGUGAAAUAUGCUAUGCCUCGUGGAUAAGUCAAGGGUAAAACUUGGGGCUAUGAAAUUCUGUGAUUUUUAUAAUUAUAUACACACACACUCAUACAAACACACACUCUGCAUUAUAUAUACACACACUCAUACAAACACACACUCAUACAAACACACAUUCUGCAUUAUAUACACACACACACUCAUACAAACACACACUCUGCAUUAUAUACACACACACACUCAUACAAACACACACUCUGCAUUAUAUACACAGACUGUGUAUAUAAUGAAGAGUGUGU
rnacentral:lncRNA from 1 species